rnacentral:tRNA from 1 species
AAAAAGAUAAGCUAAAUAAAGCUAUUGGGCCCAUAACUCAACUAUGAUAAGAAAUCUCUUUUUA